GUAGACUAGGCCUGAAACUCAGGGAUCCACCUGCCUCUUCUUCCCGAGUACUGGGAUUAAAGGUUUCAGGUUGAAGAUGAAAUGUGUCCAGGAAAGUGCUGGGACUGUAGCACUCUGUGUGCCAGCUCAGAUGUCCUGUGAAAACUCCAGAAUAUCUAUAAAAUGGCCUUGCAUUUGGACAUUCUCAAGAGGGAGGCUUAAAGGCUGAUGGAACUAUAAAGGCAGAGAUGAUGCUAAGUAGUUCUGAUAUUUCAAUUUGGAUUCCUAGAUUAAAAAGCUGGAUUUAGUUGAGAGGAGAAUAUUAUAAUCACCUUUACCAAGAAAGAUUGGUGCCUAGACCCAACUGUCAUCAGAGAGGCUUCCUUCAGCAACUGAUGGAAACAGACGCCAAGACCCACUGAGUUUGCGGAAUCCUGCUGAAGAACGGAAUCCUUCCUCCCAUCAAGGGGGUCAAGGACAUCCAUAAGAAAACCCACAGAAUUAUCUAACCUGUUUCAUGGAGCUCACAGAGUCUGAACUUAGGCCCUCUACAUAUGGGACAGUUGUGUAGUGUGGGAGCAGGGGAUGCCUCUGAUUCUUUACUGGCUUUUGGGACCCUAUACUGGGUUGCCUUGCAAAGCCAUAAUACAAGGGCAGGUCCUUAGUUUUACUGCAACUUGAUAUACAUGGGAGGCCUGUGCUUUUUCUGAACAGAAACUGAGGCGUGGAUUGGUGGGAGUGGGGCAGUAUGGGGCAAACAUGUGUAGACAUGUAGGCAAAACACCCAUACGCAUAAAGUUAAAUUCUGUAUCUGCCAGGUGGCCUACUCAUUGCCUCUGCCAUUGGCUCCUGAAGCCCAAUUUAGUUCUAAAAUUAGGCACAGUAUUCAAUGAGUAUAUAAUUGAGUAAUGUUUUCUUAGUGGGUUAAUCUUGUUUUGGCACUAACUUGUUGAUCAUGUGUAAGACCAUUUAAGCCAGAGUGUCUGUUCUAAUGCUUCAUAAUUUGGUUGCAGGUAAAUUUGGCUCCUCAUAGAGAGCCUAAGCACUCCAUCAUAUUGCUUGCCUUCUCAGGGCUUCUUGAGGACCAGAAGUCUGUCCCCCUACUGUUUUCUGAACUUUACCCAGACAAACAAAUUUUAAAGCAGGAGGUGACUGUAGGGUGAAGAGUUCAAAACCCAGGGCCAUAGCUAUAGAGAACUUUUUAUUGUAUCAUUCCACAGGACUAUAGUGAUUGAUCCUUGGAGUUACUGAAACACUCAUGUUUAGAUUUUAAAUGGUUUGUUGUUUUCCCAAGUAAUUAAUAAAUUUGUUCAAAUUUAA